GUUUGGGGUGGACAGAUUUGAUGCUAUACUUCCUCCCGGGCAGGGUGCAAUAAUGGCUGUGGGAGCAUCAAAGCCCACUGCUGUGGCUGAUGCCGAUGGGUUCUUCUCUGUGAAGAGUAAAAUGCUGGUGAACGUCACAGCUGAUCACCGGAUUAUCUAUGGAGCGGACUUGGCUGCCUUCCUCCAGACAUUUGCAAAGAUAAUCGAGAAC
rnacentral:misc_RNA from 1 species